rnacentral:lncRNA from 1 species
AGAACAGAUAGAAUGAAGUAGGCUUUCCUAUACAGUGUAAGUAGAGCGUCAAGAUCUAGACUUUUCUGCUUUGUUUCUCUAUUCCGACAGUGUUAAGUCGACUCGAUACUCCUGCUCUGCUGACCACUCCUCUGUAAACUAAGUCAGUAAACUCACCUCCCAAGUAAGUAAACUAAGUCAGUCAACCUACCCACCAAGCUACGCGAGACAAGAACUGGAUCGGUAUUCCACUGAUAAACUAAAGGCUAGGCUCUGUAAACAAAUCCUGUUAUGGCUCUGACCUAUGCCUACUAUUACUGACACCCUCGAAAGUCACUUAAUAGUAAUACUAAUGGUUCUUUGACUCCGAUACUCUUUUCCUCUUUCACUCCAGUACUAAUUCACUCCCUUACCUAAACUCAGUACUUACCACAAUUAGGUUUUCUUAUUAUGAUGUGGAAUCCGG